UACGUAGGGGGCUAGCGUUGUCCGGAAUCAUUGGGCGUAAAGAGCGUGUAGGCGGCCCGGUAAGUCCGCUGUGAAAGUCGGGGGCUCAACCCUCGAAUGCCGGUGGAAACUGUCGGGCUCGAGUACGGGAGAGGCGAGUGGAAUUCCUGGUGUAGCGGUGAAAUGCGCAGAUAUCAGGAGGAACACCGAUUGCGAAGGCAGCUCGCUGGAACGUUACUGACGCUGAGACGCGAAAGCGUGGGGAGCAAACAGG
rnacentral:rRNA from 1 species